UUAAAGAGAAUUAUAAUUAUUAUUAUAAAUCCUUAUAAUUUUGAUAAUUACUGUUGCAUAUUGUUACUAGUUUUUGGCCAUACAUUUAUUCAUACUGUAACAUGGGGUAUAUGUAGAGAUUUAAGUUUGCAAAGUUCUUUUUAACUGAAAGAUAUGUUUUUCAGUGUCUUGAGUUCCCUUGGAACUCAAGCAUAAUAGUUAAUAAAGGCUUUCUCAGCAAGUAACUCCAAAAAUUCAGCUCAUGGAUUCAUAAUUAAUAGCACUUAUCAAAAGCAAUAGCACUUAGACUUAUAUACUGUCCCAUAGUGCUUUAUAGCUCUCUCCGGGCGGUUUAAAAUUUCAGCAUAUUGCCCCCCAAUCUGGGUCCUUAAUAUCUGAAACAAAGGGGUUCAUUACUAUUAGAAGAUUACAUUCUUUUAUUGCAAUAUAUAUGAUUUCUUCCCACUUUAACAUAAUCAAGAUUUACCUGAAACUGAACCAUGCCAUUUGCCUUUUUCAUAUUAUCCUAACAUACAUAGAGUACAUGGGUGAACAGAAAAGUGCCAUAGGUAAAUAGCUUAUACAAGAAUGUAAUGAAUUAGGUCUAAUACACAAAUGGCUUUUCCAAGUAAUUUUUUUCCUAUCAACUUUAGAAGAUUGAUUUUUCUGGGAAGUCUCAUAGAAAUAAUUUCUAGCCAAUUAUAUUGACAGCAAGGUAACAACAUAACAAAUAUUUUUUUAGAUAAUACUUCAUACUUACUCCAAUAAUAUUUGGAUGGCUAAGCUCUUGCAGCAGUUUUAUUUCUCGAAGUGCUGUUCUAUUUAUACCUUAUUUGAAAGAACAUAAAAUUAAAAGACUUUGAGGUACCUUAGGUGUUUCAAAGACUGCAUUAAUAAGGAGGGCUCAAUGCUGAUAAUUCUGUCUUGAUGAUUUAUGUAUACAUUUGUAAUUGUGUAAUGCCCAUAUGAUUCAACUUUAAAAAUCCCAAAUCUAUUUGAAGUGAUCAGCCCUCUUAGAAGGACCAGAUUCUUGUUCUGGACUUUUCUUCUAGAUCUUAGAAGAAAACUUCCCCAAGUAAGAAUUGUACAGUAAUUGCUUUAUGUUUCUGAUUUAAUCAGUAGAAUUUCCAAUUAAAAAGAAAGCAAGUUUCAGAGAGAUUCCUACAAUUUCCUAUCUUUGUAUUCAAUGGUGAAUUACAGAAACUAGUUUAAUAGUAUCCUAAAGCAGUUUCAUGAUGAAUAGAUUAAGCAUGGCAUCAACUUUCCUCAUAAAAUUUACACAAACACACCAUUCUUGAAUAUUUCCAUUUACUGUAUUUUUCACACUAUAAGACUCACCUGACUAUAAGAUGUACCUAGGUUUAGAGGAGGAAAACAAGAAAAAAAAAUAUCAGGCGGAGCCUGAGAGGACCACAUAUAGGUGUCCUGUCAUGUGCCAACUCUGCCUAUUGACUCCUGCACUGCGAAAAAGAGACAGAAGAGGCGGGGUUCAGCACUGUAAAAGGACCCCACCGCCACGGCCCGGCUGCAAUUCACCAAAGGAUCGGCACUAGUCCACUGUUGGGGACCCGAGAUGAUUAUGGCAGCUACUAAAAACCUUGCAAAGCAAACAGACUUUUUGGAUAGUCUGCUCUAAUUGCCUUAUGAAUUCAAAACGUUUCUGGUACUGUAUUUUUCGCUCCAUAAGAUGCUCCUGACCAUAAGACACACCUAAGUUUAGAGGAGGAAAACAAGAAAAAAAAAUCUGCCUCUGCCUCCCAGCGUCCAUCUGAUAUUCAUCUGGAUAGCGUCCUUGCAGUGAACAGUAAACAGCCUGCCUCCUCCGUGUCUUCCACCGGGGAAGGCUGGAGCUUCGUCUCCGAGCAACUGAUCGGCAGUUAGAUCGGCCUCCUGGAAUACCGCCAAUCAGCUGUUCCAGGUGGCGGAGAUUGCUGCCGCCAUUCACCACUGCCUGUCGUCCAUAUUCACUCCAUAAGACACAGAGACAUUUCCACCCACUUUUGGGAGGAAAAAAAGUGCAUCUUAUGGAGUGAAAAUUAUGGUAAAUAAGAUGAAUUCUUAUGUUUUGAUAUACAAGAAACAGGCUAUUUCUUUUUACUUUAAUUAAAUGAUUUUUCCAAUUUA